GGGUUGUGAGGUUAAGCGACUAAGCGUACACGGUGGAUGCCCUGGCAGUCAGAGGCGAUGAAGGACGUGCUAAUCUGCGAUAAGCGUCGGUAAGGUGAUAUGAACCGUUAUAACCGGCGAUUUCCGAAUGGGGAAACCCAGUGUGAUUCGUCACACUAUCAUUAACUGAAUCCAUAGGUUAAUGAGGCGAACCGGGGGAACUGAAACAUCUAAGUACCCCGAGGAAAAGAAAUCAACCGAGAUUCCCCCAGUAGCGGCGAGCGAACGGGGAGGAGCCCAGAGCCUGAAUCAGUGUGUGUGUUAGUGGAAGCGUCUGGAAAGGCGCGCGAUACAGGGUGACAGCCCCGUACACAAAAAUGCACAUGCUGUGAGCUCGAUGAGUAGGGCGGGACACGUGGUAUCCUGUCUGAAUAUGGGGGGACCAUCCUCCAAGGCUAAAUACUCCUGACUGACCGAUAGUGAACCAGUACCGUGAGGGAAAGGCGAAAAGAACCCCGGCGAGGGGAGUGAAAAAGAACCUGAAACCGUGUACGUACAAGCAGUGGGAGCACGCUUAGGCGUGUGACUGCGUACCUUUUGUAUAAUGGGUCAGCGACUUAUAUUCUGUAGCAAGGUUAACCGAAUAGGGGAGCCGAAGGGAAACCGAGUCUUAACUGGGCGUUAAGUUGCAGGGUAUAGACCCGAAACCCGGUGAUCUAGCCAUGGGCAGGUUGAAGGUUGGGUAACACUAACUGGAGGACCGAACCGACUAAUGUUGAAAAAUUAGCGGAUGACUUGUGGCUGGGGGUGAAAGGCCAAUCAAACCGGGAGAUAGCUGGUUCUCCCCGAAAGCUAUUUAGGUAGCGCCUCGUGAAUUCAUCUCCGGGGGUAGAGCACU
rnacentral:rRNA from 1 species